rnacentral:rRNA from 1 species
GACGAACGCUGGCGGCGUGCUUAACACAUGCAAGUCGAACGGAAAGGCCCUGCUUUGUGGGGUUCUCGCGUGGCAAACCGGUGAGUAACACGGGAGUUACCUGCCCUUUACUUUGGGGUAACUUUAGGAAACUGGGGCUAAUACCGGAUAGGAGCUCCUGCCGCAUGGGGGGGGUUGGAAAGUUUUGGCGGUUGGGGAUGGACUCGCGGCUUAUCAGCUUGUUGGUGGGGUAGUGGCUUACCAAGGCUUUGACGGGUAGCCGGCCUGAGAGGGUGACCGGCCACAUUGGGACUGAGAUACGGCCCAGACUCCUACGGGAGGCAGCAGUGGGGAAUAUUGCACAAUGGGCGGAAGCCUGAUGCAGCAACGCCGCGUGCGGGAUGACGGCCUUCGGGUUGUAAACCGCUUUCGCCUGUGACGAAGCGUGAGUGACGGUAAUGGGUAAAGAAGCACCGGCUAACUACGUG